rnacentral:rRNA from 1 species
UAAGGAAUAUUGGUCAAUGGACGCAAGUCUGAACCAGGCAUGCCGCGUGAAGGAUGAAGGUCCUCUGGAUUGUAAACUUCUUUUAUCUGGGACGAAAACGGGAUUUUUAUCUCAAUUGACGGUACCAGAGGAAUAAGCACCGGCUAACUCCGUGCCAGCAGCCGCGGUAAUACGGAGGGUGCGAGCGUUAUCCGGAUUUACUGGGUUUAAAGGGUGCGUAGGUGGGCUUAUAAGUCAGUGGUGAAAUCUCCGAGCUUAACUUGGAAACUGCCGUUGAUACUAUAGGUCUUGAAUUAUCUGGAGGUAAGCGGACUAUGUCAUGUAGCGGUGAAAUGCUUAGAUAUGACAUAGAACACCAAUUGCGAAGGCAGCUUACUACAUAUAAAUUGACGCUGAGGCACGAGAGCGUGGGGAUCAAACA